rnacentral:lncRNA from 1 species
UUUUUUUUUUUUUUUUUUUAGUAAAUAAAGUUUUUUUGAAAUAUAGACACAACCACUUGCUUACAUUUUGUCUAUGGCUGUUUUUGUUUUUGUUGUUGUUGUGUUUUUUUUUUUUUUUUUUUUUUUUUUUGAGCUGUAACAGCAGCACUGGGUAGUUGUAAUAGAAACUGUAUGGUCCUCAAACCUAAAAUAUUUACUAUCUACCCCUUGAUAAAAUGUUUGCCAACCCUCGUGGGACAGAAUUGCUUACUGGAUUUUUAUUAGUCUAACAAAAUAUACCAAUUCAAUGGAGUAUUUUGACAACUUACAUUUCAUAUAAUUAUUAUGUACUUGGAUAUAAGCCUACCAUCUUGCUAUUUCUUUUCUAUUUGGCCCAUCUCUUCUUUCAUUUUCUGUUCCUGCCUUCUUUUGAACAAAAUCUAUUUUUUAGUAUCCCACCAUACUCAUCUAUCGACUUAUUAGCUACCUCUCUGUGUAUCUUUAGUGGUUAUUCCGGAGUUUAGAUAUGCAAUCUUAACUUAUCACAGCACAGAUUUAAACAAUACCAUACUAUUCCCUAAAUAAUGUAAAAAUCUUACGGCAUUUUACCUUCAGUUCUCCCUCUCAUUUUUUGCCCUAUUGUCAUACAUUUUACUAGUUAUAUACAUCAAAAACCUAACAAUAUUUCAUAUUUUUAUUGCUUUUUAUGAUUUAAACAAUUUUUUAAAUUAAAAAUAUAUUUUUUGGUAUAAUUAACAGUGUUAUUUCAGGUGCAUAAUAUAAUGAUUCAACAAUUCUAUACAUUACUCACUGCUCAUCACAAUAACUGCAUUCUUAAUUUCCUUUAUCUAUUUUACCCAUCCCUCCACCCACCACCUCCCUGUCAACCUCUGGUUUGACCUCUGUAUUUGUAAGUCUGUUCUUUGUGUCUUUUUGUUUGUUUGUUCAUUUGUUUCUUAAAUUCCACGUAUGAGUGAAAUCAUAUAGUAUUUGGCUUUCUCUGUCUGACUCAUUUCACUCAGCAUUAUAGUCUCUAGGACCAUCCAUGUUGUUGCAAAUGGCAAGAUCUCAUUCAUUUUUAUGACUGAGUAAUAUUGCAAUAUACAUAUGCCACAUCUUCUUUAUCCAUUCAUUUAUGGAUGCACACUUAGGUUGCUUCCAUACCUUAGCUAUUGUAAAUAAUGCUGUAGUAAAUCCAGGGGUACAUAUACUUUUUUCAAAUUAAUGUUUUCAUUUUCUUUGGGUAAAUACUCAGUAGUAGAAUUAUUGGAUCAUAUGGUAUUUCUAUUUUUGAUUUUGAAUUACCUUUUAAAAUUUUUAAUGAGAAAAAAGUCUUUUUAUUUACCUAUGUAUUUACCAUUUCUGGGGCUUUUCAUUCCUUUGUGUGAAUUGUGCUCCAUUUAAUGCUGUUUUUCUUCUCCCUUAAGACUUCAUUUAAUAUUUCUUGCAACAAAUGUAUGUUGGCAAUAAACUCUUUCAACUACUUUGUUGUUUUAUCUGAAAAUGCCAUUAUUUUAGAUUGUUUGCUGGAUAUAUAAUUUUAAGUUCAUAGUUUUCUUUCAGUGCUGAUCUUAUUCCAAUGUUUUUAAAUUUUCAUUGUUUCUGUAGAGAAGUCAGUACACUUUUUAACUUUUGUGUUUUGUACAUACUGUGUCUUUUUUCUGGGCCUUUAUGAUUUUUCUUUUUACUACUGGCUUUCAGAAAUUAUGUCUUGGUGUGGUUUUCUUUCCUGUUUGAAAUUAGUUAAACUUCUUGGUUUUGUGAGUUUAUAUUUUCCAUCAAAACUGGAAAAACUUUGGUCAUUAUUUCUCAAAAUAUUUCUUUGUUUUGGAAGUCCAAUUACACAUUUUUUUUUUUUUUUUUGGACCACAUGGUAGUAUCAGGACAUUGAGGUGUCAUUUGGUUUUUGUUCUUGUUUUUUGUUUUUCAGUUGUUCUUACUCUCUGCUUCCAUUUGGAAAAUUUAAGUCCACUUAUAUUUUUAUCUUCAGUGUCUAAUGCAUUGCUUAACCCAUCCAGUGGAUAUUUCAUUUCAUAUGUGGGAAUUUCUAGAGCUAAAAAAUAUAUUUUCCAUAACUGUCCUCAUUAUUUCAGUAUUUUUCUUUAAAUCUUAAAUAGUAAACAAUUAGCUGUUUUAAAGUCUUUGCUAAUUAUAUCAUCCCUGUCAAUUCUUAGUCUCUUUUCCCCUGGUUUGGCUACGGUAUCUGGCAUUACACAUGGGGAGAGGUCAACACUCGGUCCA